rnacentral:rRNA from 1 species
UCAGGAUGAAUGCUAGCUACAGGCUUAACACAUGCAAGUCGAGGGGCAGCAUCAUUAAAGCUUGCUUUGAUGGAUGGCGACCGGCGCACGGGUGAGUAACACGUAUCCAACCUGCCGACAACACUGGGAUAGCCUUUCGAAAGAAAGAUUAAUACCGGAUGGCAUAGUUUUCCCGCAUGGGAUAAUUAUUAAAGAAUUUCGGUUGUCGAUGGGGAUGCGUUCCAUUAGGCAGUUGGCGGGGUAACCGCCCACCAAACCAACGAUGGAUAGGGGUUCUGAGAGGAAGGUCCCCCACAUUGGAACUGACACACGGUCCAAACUCCUACGGGAGGCAGCAGUGAGGAAUAUUGGUCAAUGGACGAGAGUCUGAACCAGCCAAGUAGCGUGAAGGAUGACUGCCCUAUGGGUUGUAAACUUCUUUUAUACAGGAAUAAAGUGAGCCACGUGUGGCUUUUUGUAUGUACCGUAUGAAUAAAGAUCGGCUAACUCCGUGCCAACAGCCGCGGUAAUACGGAGGAUCCGAGCGUUAUCCCGGAUUUAUUGGGUUUAAAGGGAGCGUAAGCCGGUUGUUAAGUCCCUUGUGAAAGUUUGCGGGCUCCACCGUAAAAUUGCAGUUGAUACUGGCGACCUUGAGUGCAACAGAGGUAGGUGGAAUUCGUGGUGUAGCGGUGAAAUGCUUAGAUAUCACGAAGAACUCCGAUUGCGAAGGCAGCUUACUGGAUUGUAACUGACGCUGAUGCUCGAAAGUGUGGGUAUCAAACAGGAUUAGAUACCGUGGUAGUCCACACAGUAAACGAUGAAUACUCGCUGUUGGCGAUAUACGGUCAGCGGCCAAGCGAAAGCAUUAAGUAUUCCACCUGGGGAGUACGCCGGCAACGGUGAAACUCAAAGGAAUUGACGGGGGCCCGCACAAGCGGAGGAACAUGUGGUUUAAUUCGAUGAUACGCGAGGAACCUUACCCGGGCUUAAAUUGCAACUGACUGAACCGGAAACGGUUCUUUCUUCGGACAGUUGUGAAGGUGCUGCAUGGUUGUCGUCAGCUCGUGCCGUGAGGUGUCGGCUUAAGUGCCAUAACGAGCGCAACCCUUAUCGAUAGUUACUAGCAGGUCAUGCUGAGGACUCUAUUGAGACUGCUGUCGUAAGAUGUGAGGAAGGUGGGGAUGACGUCAAAUCAGCACGGCCCUUACGUCCGGGGCUACACACGUGUUACAAUGGGGGGUACAGAGGGCCGCUACCACGCGAGUGGAUGCCAAUCCCCAAAACCCCUCUCAGUUCGGACUGGAGUCUGCAACCCGACUCCACGAAGCUGGAUUCGCUAGUAAUCGCGCAUCAGCCACGGCGCGGUGAAUACGUUCCCGGGCCUUGUACACACCGCCCGUCAAGCCAUGGGAGCCGGGGGUACCUGAAGUGCGUAACCGCGAGGAGCGCCCUAGGGUA